rnacentral:rRNA from 1 species
GAUGAACGCUGGCGGCGUGCUUAACACAUGCAAGUCGAACGAUGAAGCCCAGCUUGCUGGGUGGAUUAGUGGCGAACGGGUGAGUAACACGUGAGUAACCUGCCCUUAACUCUGGGAUAAGCCUGGGAAACUGGGUCUAAUACCGGAUAGGAGCGUCCACCGCAUGGUGGGUGUUGGAAAGAUUUAUCGGUUUUGGAUGGACUCGCGGCCUAUCAGCUUGUUGGUGAGGUAAUGGCUCACCAAGGCGACGACGGGUAGCCGGCCUGAGAGGGUGACCGGCAACACGGGGACGGGGACACGGCCCAGACUCCUACGGGAGGCAACAGUGGGAAUAUUGCACAAUGGGCGCAAGCCUGAUGCAGCGACGCCGCGUGAGGGAUGACGGCCUUCGGGUUGUAAACCUCUUUCAGUAGGGAAGAAGCGAAAGUGACGGUACCUGCAGAAGAAGCACCGGCUAACUACGUG